rnacentral:rRNA from 1 species
UACGGGGGGGGCAAGCGUUGUUCGGAAUUACUGGGCGUAAAGCGUGUGCAGGCGGGCUAGCAAGUGGUGUAUGAAAGCUCCCGGCUCAACCGGGAAGGGUUAUGCCAGACUGCUAGUCUUGAGUUCGGGAGAGGUGAGUGGAACUGCGAGUGUAGAGGUGAAAUUCGUAGAUAUUCGCAAGAACACCAGUGGCGAAGGCGGCUCACUGGCCCGAUACUGACGCUGAGGCACGAAAGCGUGGGGAGCAAACAGG